rnacentral:lncRNA from 1 species
GGGGGCGGUGGUGGCUGGUUAUUUAGUGUUCAGAUUUGUAGAAACUUAGAUCAAAACGAGCGACACAGUGUAUAUAGUUCGAUUCGAGCUUGUAUAGUGUUCGGAUUCAUACUAAUGCCUGGUUAUUUGUGUUGACAGUGGCGGUGGUGGCUGGUACCGGCCACCGUAUCAGGAGGAGUUCCAGUAACAUGGGAGGCGAUGAAGAGACAAAAACAGGGGAUGAAGAGAAGUUGUUUGAUCUCAAUGAUUACACCAUAAUUAAAGAAGGGGAAGCUGAGAUUUUGAUGCAUACUAAAAAUGAAGUCUUUUACAAUAAAACCCAGUGUUGGUGGUAGGUGGGGGCGGUGGCGGUUGGUGGCGCCGGUGGUGGUUGGAUAUAGAGAGAUAGAGUGGGGUGGGGUGGUGGAU